UACGUAGGGGGCAAGCGUUGUCCGGAUUCAUUGGGCGUAAAGAGCUCGUAGGCGGUUCAGCAAGUCGGGGUGUGAAAACCUCCAGGCUCAACCUGGAGACGCCACCCGAUACUGCUGUGACUUGAGUCCGGUAGGGGACCACGGAAUUCCUGGUGUAGCGGUGAAAUGCGCAGAUAUCAGGAGGAACACCCGAUGGCGAAGGCAGGUCUCUGGGCA
rnacentral:rRNA from 1 species